GGUUCUAUAGCUCAGUUGGUUAGAGCACCGGCCUGUCACGCCGGGGGUCAGGGGUUCAAGUCCCCUUAGAGCCGCCA
rnacentral:tRNA from 1 species